CCCUUAGAUGUUCUGGGCCGCACGCGCGCUACACUGAUCGGUGCAACAAGCAUCCGUCCUUGGCCGACAGGCCCGGGCAAUCUUUGAACGCCGGUCGUGAUGGGGAUAGACCUUUGCAAUUUUUGGUCUUCAACGAGGAAUUCCUAGUAAACGCAAGUCAUCAACUUGCAUUGAUUACGUCCCUGCCCUUUGUACACACCGCCCGUCGCACCUACCGAUUGAAUGGUCCGGUGAAGCCUCCGGAUUGGCGCGCACCUCGGUGCCGCCGAGAAGUUGGCUAAACCUUACCAUUUAGAGGAAGGUGAANUCGUAACA
rnacentral:rRNA from 1 species